rnacentral:rRNA from 1 species
UACGUAGGGUGCAAGCGUUAAUCGGAAUUACUGGGCGUAAAGCGUGCGCAGGCGGCUUUGCAAGACAGAUGUGAAAUCCCCGGGCUCAACCUGGGAAUUGCAUUUGUGACUGCACGGCUAGAGUGUGUCAGAGGGGGGUAGAAUUCCACGUGUAGCAGUGAAAUGCGUAGAGAUGUGGAGGAAUACCGAUGGCGAAGGCAGCCCCCUGGGAUAACACUGACGCUCAUGCACGAAAGCGUGGGGAGCAAACAGG